rnacentral:rRNA from 1 species
GACGAACGCUGGCGGCGUGCUUAACACAUGCAAGUCGAACGAAAAGGCCCUGCUUUUGUGGGGUGCUCGAGUGGCGAACGGGUGUGUAACACGUGAGUAACCUGCCCUUGACUUUGGGAUAACUUCAGGAAACUGGGGCUAAUACCGGAUAGGAGCUCCUGCUGCAUGGUGGUGGUUGGAAAGUUUCGGCGGUUGGGGAUGGACUCGCGGCUUAUCCGCUUGUUGGUGGGGUAGUGGCUUACCAAGGCUUUGACGGGUAGCCGGCCUGAGAGGGGGACCGGCCACAUGGGGACUGAGGUACGGCCCAGACUCCUACGGGAGGCAGCAGUGGGGAAUAUUGCACAAUGGGCGGAAGCCUGAUGCAGCAACGCCGCGUGCGGGAUGACGGCCUUCGGGUGGUAAACCGCUUUCGCCUGUGACGAAGCGUGAGUGACGGUAAUGGGUAAAGAAGCACCGGCUAACUACGUG